CAGAUUAGUAUUUGGUUUGUCCAUAAGGAUUUAGACUGGAAAUGGCAAUUAAAUCUGAUUUUUAAAGCUGAUGUGAGGACUGAUUAUAUGGUGUUGGAAGUAAGAACUGGCGAUCUUAUACUGCUAACAUAUUGGUUAGCAUCACAGCUUGUCCUUUUGCAUACUGUCCGGAGUAGAAUUUGGAUCUUUUUGAGGUGCCCUUGUGUGGUCAAUCCAAUGGACAAUAACAAUCAUGCAGACCAGAUAUAUAUUGCUUUUUUGUAUAAUAAAAUCUUUAAAUGAUAAUUCUGAAAGCCAAAUGAUUCAUUUUUUUAUGCUGUUACUUUUUCCAUUUACUGUAAAUUAACAAAUUUUUGUUUUUAAUGCUGUUAUUCGUUUGGCUCAAAUGAAGUAUACAGAUAUUUAGUUCCAGAUUUUGAUAUAUGUAUUCCUAUGCAAAUAAAAACUUGUAUUAUAGUUAUAAAAAUAGUUGAUUAAUACUUAUCAUUUUAUAAUUAUUAUUUGAUGAAAUGGAAAAUUAUAAUUGUAAAGGUUGACAAUUUGAAAGAAAAAAAUAGUCUUUUAUGAUUGACUGGUAGACAGAUCAACAGGUUGACAAGUCAACAGAUGCCUAUAUUAAGGAACCUCGCUUGUCAUGUUUUGGAACUUUGGUAAGGC